rnacentral:tRNA from 1 species
UCCCUGGUGGCUCAUAUGAUAAAGAAUCCCCCUGCAACGGGGGAGACCUGGGUUCGAUUCCCGGGUUGGGAA